AGCUGCCAAAAAGAAGAAUUAGAGUGUGUUAGAGAUGAAGAACUGAAACGUUUAUGAAGUGGAUAAAAGCUGCUUUUUACUUCUACCAUUUGGAGAGGGGAGAGAAGGUGGACAAGUACUCCAUGAAGAGGUAACAAAGGCAGCAACAAUAAAGGAAAAGACCAGCUUCUUGGAGACAAAACUAGGUCGCCUGGGAACUUUAACUUCAGCCUAUGAAUACCUCCAUUUGACCUCCUGUCACAAACUGGUCAAAGCUUGAAAGGAUCCUCUUUAUCUCUCCGCAGAUGGGAAACUUGCCUCUCUGUAACUUUUGUCUAAAGUAACCAUGCUAUAAAAAUAUGAUGACUGCCUCUGCAGCACUUGCCCGCUUCUAUAAUGA
rnacentral:lncRNA from 1 species